rnacentral:rRNA from 1 species
UACGGAGGGUGCGAGCGUUGUCCGGAAUCAUUGGGCGUAAAGGGCGCGUAGGUGGCCCGGUCAGUCAGUGGUGAAAGCGCGGGGCUCAACUCCGCGUCGGCCAUUGAUACUGCGGGGCUCGAGCACUGUAGAGGCAGGCGGAAUUCCUGGUGUAGCGGUGGAAUGCGCAGAUAUCAGGAGGAACACCGAUGGCGAAGGCAGAUCUCUGGGCCGUAACUGACGCUGAGGAGCGAAAGCAUGGGGAGCGAACAGG